rnacentral:misc_RNA from 1 species
CAAGAGCAGCAGAACAAGGGCGAAAAAAAAUCUAGUAGAAAAAAAAAAUGGAGGUUGUUGACGAUGGUGAUGAUAUGAUGGAAAUGAUCCGCACCAUCGCCUCUGCUGCUCCUCACUUCCUCGAUACUAUUCCUACAAGGUACUCCUUGAAGGUUCCCUUCCAUUCCUCUUCAUUUUAGGUCUGUAGAAUUUUUUUUUUAAAAGAAUUUUCUUCUGGGGAUUGCGUGAAAAUUAGUAAUAAUAAUAAUAAUCGUUAUUAGGUAGCGGAG